rnacentral:rRNA from 1 species
CGGCGUAAGGGUGAGUAAUGCAUAGGCAACGUACCCCUGGGAUCGGGAUAACUGCUGGAAACGGCAGGUAAUACCGGAUGGCCAGCUGGAGGCUCCUGCCUCCGGUUGUAAAUGGUCGGGCAACCUUCUGCCCGGGGAGCGGCCUAUGUCCUAUUAGCUUGUUGGUGGGGUAACGGCCUACCAAGGCGGCGAUGGGUAGCCGGGCUGAGAGGUCGGCCGGUCACACUGGGACUGAGACACUGCCCAG